GUGAGCUCCCUCUAGUGGUGGCUGUAUAAUUCCAUAUGCGGUGAACAAUGGGGAACAAUUCCUUUAAGGCGUAUUGGAAAUGUUUGAGAUGGGAAUCCGCCUCCUUGUAUGUAAAUGCUCUCAGCCCCUGCAUAAUAGAAGACACAGCCGCCAUCUUGAGAAAGCUAUGGAUGCCGCAGCCUGUUUACCUCUGUACCACUGCAGAAAGUGGACAGUCCCUUUAAGGUAUCUUCACCAGUGAUUUUUAUUGUGUUUUUAUUUUUUUAAUCGCUGCAGGGUUUUUCUUAUUAGCGCCGCUGUAUUUUUUUUUUUAAAGCCGUACUCCAUUUUGUUGCCCCCCCAUAGACGAUGGAGAAAUCCUGGUGGUUUUAGCGCCAUUUCGCCUUAGGCCCCCUUUACUCUCCAGGACUCUCAUGGUGAGCAGCAUUUUAUAGGUCCCAGUCCGCACUGAUCAACCUCACAGGAUCCCCACAGCCGCCAUAGGGGAUAUUCUUGUAUCGAGAUCCCGGUGUCACUAUGCAGCGUCACCUGAACGUGUACCGGAACGUCUGCUGUUUUCGUCUGGAAAAAUAUUUUAAUAAAGCUUCUU